rnacentral:rRNA from 1 species
ACCCAAUGUAUAGGAGGUCUUGCCUGCCCAGUGACUACAAGUUAAACGGCCGCGGUAUUUUGACCGUGCAAAGGUAGCGCAAUCACUUGUCUUUUAAAUGAAGACCUGUAUGAAUGGUAGAACGAGGGCUUAACUGUCUCCCCCUUCAAGUCAAUGAAAUUGAUCUCCCCGUGCAGAAGCGGGCAUAAAAAUACAAGACGAGAAGACCCUUUGGAGCUUAAGAUGUAAAAUCAACUAUGUCAAGAGACAUUAAACUAAAUAGCUACUGAUUCUCAUCUUCGGUUGGGGCGACCACGGGAGACAACCAAGCUCCCACGCGGACUGGGGCAACCCCCAAAACUAAGAGAGACAUCUCUAAGUCGCAGAAUAUCUGACCAUAAAGAUCCGGCCACAGCCGAUCAACGGACCAAGUUACCCUAGGGAUAACAGCGCAAUCCCCUUCCAGAGUCCAUAUCGACAAGGGGGUUUACGACCUCGAUGUUGGAUCAGGACAUCCUAAUGGUGCA